rnacentral:rRNA from 1 species
AACGAACGCUGGCGGCAGGCCUAACACAUGCAAGUCGAACGGGAAGGUUCCUUCGGGAACUGGAUAGUGGCGCACGGGUGAGUAACGCGUGGGAAUCUACCUUUCAGUCUGGGAUAACAGUUGGAAACGACUGCUAAUACCGGAUACGUCCUUUGGAGAAGGAUUUAUUGCUGAAAGAUGAGCCCGCGUCCAAUUAGGUAGUAGGUGUGGUAAUGGCGCACCUAGCCGACGAUUGGUAACUGGUCUGAGAGGAUGACCAGUCACACUGGGACUGAGACACGGCCCAGACUCCUACGGGAGGCAGCAGUGGGGAAUAUUGGACAAUGGAGGCAACUCUGAUCCAGCCAUGCCGCGUGAGUGAAGAAGGCCUUAGGGUUGUAAAGCUCUUUCAGAUGUGACGAUGAUGACGGUAACAUCAGAAGAAGCCCCGGCUAACUUCGUG